UACGUAGGGUGCGAGCGUUAAUCGGAAUUACUGGGCGUAAAGCGUGCGCAGGCGGUCUGUUAAGACCGAUGUGAAAUCCCCGGGCUUAACCUGGGAACUGCAUUGGUGACUGGCAGGCUUUGAGUGUGGCAGAGGGAGGUAGAAUUCCAGGUGUAGCGGUGAAAUGCGUAGAUAUCUGGAGGAAUACCGGUGGCGAAGGCGGCAUCCUGGACCAUUACUGACGCUGAGGCGCGAAAGCUAGGGGAGCAA
rnacentral:rRNA from 1 species